rnacentral:lncRNA from 1 species
GACAAAUUGAGACGAGGUUAAUUAGUAAAGUAGAAGGCUAACGUAGGAUACAAUAGGGCAUCGGAAGAGAUUAAAGAGGUAUAUUAGUUUAUAAUUUUAUUAUGAAUUUUUUUGUUGUGAUUAUAUUUGGCAGUUUUUAUUAUUAUUUUGAAUAUGUGCAAUUUCUCAUUGUUGAUAUUUUAAAAAAAAUCUUUCAAUUUUUAAAUGAAUAUAUAGUUAGCUAGGAUUGAUAGAUUUUACUUUACAUUAUAUUAUAAGGGUGCAGUUUGUAUAGAGCCGAGGCUCUAAACAAUCAAAGUGGAGCGUACCUUCAAAUAAUGUCGAGAAGUGUCGUUUCAAUACCAGAAAUCUAUGUGAUAGCCUUAAAAUAUAUUUUCAUAUUUAAUUAUAAAAUGUAAAACUUUAAAAGUAGUGUAGAUUGAGCAGAUCUAUAAAAAUUUUAAAAUCUUGAAAAUUGAAGGUCUAAAAAUGCAUUACAAGGUGUGCUAUUUCCAAAACUUUGAAAUCCAUUUUUUUUUCUCACGUCCAUGCAUCUUGAUGUCAAGACGUUCAAUUUGAGGAUAUUUGGGCAUCAAAACAACAUUUUCUAGUGAAAUUUUGUCGGUAGGCUCUAAUUUGAUUGCUUAGGGCCUCGACUCUGUAUAAACUUUUUUUUUUUUUUAAGACUCAAAAAUCCUAAUUUUUCUAAAAUAAUAUUUAGGGCAAGGUUUUUCAUUCCAAAAUUAUAAUUUUCUGUUAAAUUUGACGUGAAGCUUUACCACUUUGAUCAAUUUAUCAAUAUCUCUUGAUUAUACUAACAGGAGCAAACAAGAGAUUUCAAGGACAAUAUAAAUAAGUUUGCCAAAAAAAAAAAUUUACUUCAAAGUCAUACUGCCAGCAUAUUCUUGUUCUUGUUGUUCUGGUUGCUGCUUCGAAUCGGAGUCAAUAGAAGAAAGACAACCUCUAUAAUAUAAGUUCUUGAAAUACUGCCAGCACAUUCUUGUUCUUGUUGUUCUUGCUGCUGCUUCGAGUCGCGGUCAAUAGAAGAAAGACAACCUCUAUAACAUAAGGUUUUGAAAUGAUCUGCCAGUGUAUUUCUUGUUUGGAGUCAAGAAAAGAAGAUAACGUGAAGGCAAGACAACGAGCCUAGGUAGACAAUCACUUCUUGUUUUUUCUUCCAAUCGGAGUGAAGAAAAUUCCAGUCGGAGUCAAGAAAAAAAAGACAACCCCAACUCGAGUCGGAAUCAAGAAAAGAAACCCCAAAUCAAAACAACAAGCCCGUACAUAAUCAAUUGAGAGAGUAAGUAAACCAAAGAAAUAUAUCCUCAAGGCAACCAGAGUAAAUCAAGAGCAUAAAGUACGAAUCAAUUGAGAGAAUAAGGCCCUAAAGUAAGGCCAUAAAGAACCAGGCUAUAUAGGAGAAGAUCGUUUCUUUUUCGAGUCAGAGUCAACAAAAGAAAGACGAUAUUUUCAGAUAGAUUCCAACGGUGAAAAGAGAACUUGACUGUGAGAAAGGAGAAACAAAGAGCUUUGGAGAGUGAUAACAGUUUAGGGUGACAAAGUUUUCAUGUGAGUUUUUGAUAAAGUUUUGAUGCGAUA